rnacentral:rRNA from 1 species
UACGGAGGGUGCAAGCGUUAUCCGGAUUUACUGGGUUUAAAGGGUGUGUAGGCGGGUCAUUAAGUCAGUGGUGAAAUCCCGGGGCUCAACCUCGGAACUGCCAUUGAUACUAUUGAUCUUGAAUCUUGUUGAGGUGGGCGGAAUACAUCAUGUAGCGGUGAAAUGCUUAGAUAUGAUGUAGAACACCGAUUGCGAAGGCAGCUCACUAAGCAAGUAUUGACGCUGAGGCACGAAAGCGUGGGGAUCAAACAGG